rnacentral:rRNA from 1 species
UACGAAGGGGGCUAGCGUUGCUCGGAAUCACUGGGCGUAAAGCGCACGUAGGCGGAUUGUUAAGUCAGGGGUGAAAUCCUGGAGCUCAACUCCAGAACUGCCUUUGAUACUGGCGAUCUUGAGUCCGGGAGAGGUGAGUGGAACUGCGAGUGUAGAGGUGAAAUUCGUAGAUAUUCGCAAGAACACCAGUGGCGAAGGCGGCUCACUGGCCCGGUACUGACGCUGAGGUGCGAAAGCGUGGGGAGCGAACAGG